rnacentral:lncRNA from 1 species
GCGGGUUAUUCUCUAGUUUGGUUUAAUUAAAAUUAGAAUUUUUUUUGGUUUAACUGGUUAAUAUUGUUGGGUAAACUGUAAACCGAUUUAAACCAUAGUUCAUGUAUAAAUAAAUUUGAAACUAUCGGUUUAGGGAGAAAUAAGAUUGUAACUUUUAAUUCGGGGAGAAAUACGUUUUUAAUAUACAAUUGAUGGACAUUUAGUACGAGGUCAUAGUUUGGUGGACAUCUGAUGCUAUAUAAUAGUUAUCGUGGGGAAAUAGCACGUUCACCCCGGUAUUUUUGUUCACUUUUUCCAUAGGUCUUAUUUCUUGACUCAGUUUUAAUUUUUUUAUUUAUGAUGAAUCAGUUUUGAUUUUUUUUUUCCUUGACUCAGUUUUAAUUUCUUCAAAAGUCUUUUUCGGAGGCCGUGGUUUUUUUUUUUUUUUUCUCUUUACUGCAGAUAUUUUCUUUUUAAUUAUUAUUUUGUGCUUUUGAAAAUACUAUAUGCUUAUGACAAAAUAUAUACCAAAGGCCAAAUUUUAAGAGAAAAAGACUAGGAUACCACCAAACCAAGUUUUUGUUCCCAAAGUAGCAUUGAAGGUUCAAAGUCACAAAAAUAGGUUUCAUUAAAGAGGUAAAUAUACACUUAUACCCUUUGGGUUAAUUAAUCUAAACCUUAGAGUUUAGAGUUAAGAGGUGGGGUUUUGGAAUUAGGAUUUAAAAUUUUAUAAAAAAUAAAUACUAAAAUAAAAAAUAAAAUUUUAAAAACAGUUUUAAAAAGUAUUUUCAAAUUAUAAAAAGAAAAUUUCAAAAAAAAUAAAAAAAAUUUCAAAAAAAAAAUUUCAAAAAAAAAGUUAUAAAAAUUUCGAAUCUGAAAACACAUAAUCUGAAACUAUAAAAAAAAUUUCUUUUUUUUUAUUUUAUUUAUUUUUAUUUAUUUUUGUUUGUUUAUUUAAUUUUAAACCAAGGGUAUUAAGGAUAUUUUACCCUUUAAUGAAUGUCAUUUUUGUGAUUUUCUCCUUCUAGUGUUAUUUUUGAGACAUAAACUUCAAAAGAUGCUAUUAUUGACAAUUGCCCAAAUUUUAAUGUACUUUGUCUUUAAGGAUGUUUUUCCAUUUUAUUAUUGCAUCGUACUAUAUUAUUACUAUAGCUUGAAAAUGUAUCAUUUCAUUAUCAUAAGUCUAUAAACAUAUAAAACUAAAUGGUACGUCACAGUACACAAGAGAAGCAGAGAGGCUGGCGGAAAUAGCUUAAUGGUAGAGUUUGAACAGCUUUGAAAUGUCAGACGUUAUUGAAAGAAGGAUGAAAAUCAGAUGAGAAAAAGACAUCUGAAAUCAACCAAUUGGAAGUAUGCUAAAUUAAAUGGUUAAUUGUUGUUCAAUUAGUUAAUUAACGUCGACGAAUAAUUUGCAACCAAGAGUUGUGGAGGUCGUUAGUCAGUGGCGCAAUGGUUCAAACUCUGUCAUCUACGAACCUCCAAUGUUAGUCUUUUCUUUGAUUACUGACACAUUUUAACUAUCGAAAGAGAAAAAACAUUUUGAUGUGCUUGACCUAUUUCAAAAACAUAUAUAUGGCUGCUGCAAAUCUAAUCAGCCAGUGCAAACUUGAGUUCAUAAUUAACAAAAAAUCUGAAAUCAGCUUUAUAAAAGGUGAAAAUCUUACAAAGUCUGGUUUGAAGUUUUAGUACUU